rnacentral:lncRNA from 1 species
AGAGCUAAAACUCUGUCUCUUUGAAUUCUUAUCUGCUGUUCACCACUCUCUACUGACUUAAGCAUCGGAUGGUCCCCACCGAAUAUAAUUUCGAUUAGUGUGGACUUCAUUUUGCAGGUGCUCUUCACCGGCAAUAAACGCAACAGGAGAUUGGCUGCAACAGAUUGGCACACCAGAAAGGAGAAGAAUAUGAGCAAUCAUGGCUAAGACCAGAGCUCAAAAUUUUACAAGAUCAGUGAGAUAAUCUUUUCGUCAGGAAGAUCUUCCUCCCCCUCCUCCAAUGAC